rnacentral:lncRNA from 10 species
GAAUGAUGCAGAGGGUAAUUAGAGAUAUGGUUGUGUACAACAUAUUUAAGAAAGAGCAAGAUGAAUACCAGUUAUAAAUAAAGAACAACAGAGCAGUGUUCACGAGUCACAUUUAUUUUGAGUGCUCUGAUAAUCUGGUUAUGUGAAGGAUUAUUUGCAAAUAAUAUACCCAGUAUAAUUUUCCCAGUAUAAUUCUGGGAAAACUAUUAUCUUUGUGUUGUAACUAUUAUUUGAAAAGAUGUUUCCCUGGGUUUUUUCAAUUUGUUGAAAUUUAUUUAUUUUAAUAAUGUGAAAUUAUGUUGUGCGUUUUUUUCUUUCCACAGACAGCAAUGGAUCAACUUCAUAUGCACUUCACCCAAGCCAUUCACAACACCGUGUUUCAAGUUGUUCUUGGUUAUGUGGAACUAUGUGCAGGAAACACAGACACAAAAUUCCAAAAGCUGCAAUAUAAGGAUCUCUGUACACAUGUUACACCAGACAGCUAUAUUCCAUGCCUUGCAGACCUGUGCAAAGCACUAUGGGAAGUUAUGCUCAGCUAUUAUAGGACUAUGGAAUGGC